GGGUCAGUAGGUUGGUUGUGCCACCGGUACGUACUGGUCUCACUGAUUCCUCCUUCCUGAAGAACUGCAAUGCCAUUAAUUUGGUGUUGCGGGGAAACAGGACUGUUACUUUGAAAAAAUUAGAGUUUUUAAAGCAAGCUAACGCUUGAAUACAUUAGCAUGGAAUAAUGAAAUAGGACGAUCGAUCCUAUUUUGUUGGUUUCUAGGAUUGACGUA
rnacentral:rRNA from 1 species